GAUGAACGCUAGCUACAGGCUUAACACAUGCAAGUCGAGGGGUAACGAGAGGAAAGCUUGCUUUCCUUGUCGACGACCGGCGCACGGGUGAGUAACGCGUAUCCAACCUGCCCCCAACUAGGGAAUAACCUUGCGAAAGUAAGACUAAUACCCUAUAAUUUCCUCAGAUGUCAUCUGACGAGGAAUAAAGAUUUAUCGGUUGUGGAUGGGGAUGCGUCUGAUUAGCUUGUUGGCGGGGUAACGGCCCACCAAGGCAACGAUCAGUAGGGGUUCUGAGAGGAAGGUCGCCCACAUUGGAGCUGAGACACGGUCCAAACUCCUACGGGAGGCAGCAGUGAGGAAUAGUGGUCAAUGGGCGGAAGCCUGAACCAGCCAAGUAGCGUGCAGGAUGACGGCCCUAUGGGUUGUAAACUGCUUUUAUACAGGAAUAAAGUUAGCCACGUGUGGUUAUUUGUAGGUACUGUAUGAAUAAGGACCGGCUAAUUCCGUGCCAGCAGCCGCAGUAA
rnacentral:rRNA from 1 species